UAUAACUGUCCCAACCCCCUUAACGUGCCUGAUCUCCGAAGCUAAGCAGGGUUGGACCUGGUUAAUACUUGGAUGGUAUUCUACCUGGAAAUACUGGGCACUGUAGGCU
rnacentral:rRNA from 1 species